rnacentral:tRNA from 1 species
GUUGAGAUGGCCGAGUUGGUCUACGACGCUAGAUUAAUCCAAGAGGGCACAAGUUCGAAUCCCACUCUCAACA